rnacentral:rRNA from 1 species
AAAGUCCGACGGUACAGGGUGAUAGUCCCGUACACCAAAAUGCACAGGCUGUGAACUCGAAGAGUAGGGCGGGACACGUGGUAUCCUGUCUGAAUAUGGGGGGACCAUCCUCCAAGGCUAAAAUACUCCUGACUGACCGAUAGUGAACCAGUACCGUGAGGGAAAGGCGAAAAGAACCCCGGCGAGGGGAGUGAAAAAGAACCUGAAACCGUGUACGUACAAGCAGUGGGAGCACCUUCGGGUGUGACUGCGUACCUUUGUAUAAUGGGUCAGCGACUUAUAUUCUGUAGCAAGGUUAACCGUAUAGGGGAGCCGCAGGGAAACCGAGUCUUAACUGGGCGUUAAGUUGCAGGUAUAGACCCGAAACCCGGUGAUCUAGCCAUGGGCAGGUUGAAGGUUGGGUAACACUAACUGGAGGACCGAACCGACUAAUGUUGAAAAAUUAGCGGAUGACUUGUGGCUGGGGGUGAAAGGCCAAUCAAACCGGGAGAUAGCUGGUUCUCCCCGAAAGCUAUUUAGGUAGCGCCUCGUGAAUUCAUCUUCGGGGGUAGAGCACUGUUUCGGCUAGGGGGUCAUCCCGACUUACCAACCGAUGCAAACUACGAAUACCGAAGAAUGUUAUCACGGGAGACACACGGCGG